rnacentral:lncRNA from 1 species
UAUUCUGUCUUCUGCCAUAAAAACAAUAUGUCUGCUAGGCGGAGAAGCUCGAACUCAACACUGAUAUCAACGUUAUUAUCAAAUGUCCUCUGACAAACAAUGUUGAUUUCACUGAAAUUUCUUUUUUGAUGUAUCUUCUUUUUUUUUACAUGUCUUUUAUUGGAAUUUUCUUUGGAAUUAUUUCAAAUCAUUCCCAAUGACAUCUGAUUAGUAGGUGAAGGGGAAAUUCAAAAGCAACAAAAAUAUCGACAUUAUUAUUAUUAUCAAAUGUAUUGUGAUAAAUUAUAUUGACUUUACUAAAUACUCUUCUUUGAUUUAUCAACUGCUUUUUUAAAUACUUGGUUAAAAGAAAAAUUCUUGAAAUUAUUUCACAAAAAAAAAGAAGAAAAAGAUCCAUAGGAAAAUAUGGAAAGUUGAUGGCUAAGCCAGGAGAUUUCUAUAAAUGUGCUGCUGUGAUUAUACACCCAUGUUCCUCUGCUAAAGUCUCAUAUAAUACAUACAUACAUACAUACAUACUUAAAAGUACGUGCAUUUGCUUAUGCUGCACUUAAGAAAGUUCACAACGCACCAUAAAUAUGCGUGUACAUCUACAGAAUUUUAUCUAGCACCAUAAAAUCAUGUUUUUAUGGAAGAACCAAUCGACCGUGUAUAUAUAAAUUUAUUUAUAAGUAUGUAUUGUUAUGUAUGCGUGUAGAAAUUAGACGAAACCAAAAUGUCGACUGGCAACUUUCCGACGAUGUACCCUGUGGAGUCGUUUGAUAAUUUGACUGACGACUUGAGUUGUGCGGAUUUCCCGGAGUGCCGACCUUCCUUCUAUGUUGGAGAAGAUUUGAUCAUUAAAUCGG